rnacentral:rRNA from 1 species
AGUGAACGCUGGCGGUAGGCCUAACACAUGCAAGUCGAACGGCAGCACAGUAAGAGCUUGCUCUUACGGGUGGCGAGUGGCGGACGGGUGAGGAAUACAUCGGAAUCUACUUUUUCGUGGGGGAUAACGUAGGGAAACUUACGCUAAUACCGCAUACGGCCUACGGGUGAAAGCAGGGGAUCUUCGGACCUUGCGCGAUUGAAUGAGCCGAUGUCGGAUUAGCUAGUUGGCGGGGUAAAGGCCCACCAAGGCGACGAUCCGUAGCUGGUCUGAGAGGAUGAUCAGCCACACUGGAACUGAGACACGGUCCAGACUCCUACGGGAGGCAGCAGUGGGGAAUAUUGGACAAUGGGCGCAAGCCUGAGCCAGCCAUACCGCGUGGGUGAAGAAGGCCUUCGGGUUGUAAAGCCCUUUUGUUGGGAAAGAAAAGCAGCAGGUUAAUACCCCGCUGUUCUGACGGUACCCAAAGAAUAAGCACCGGCUAACUUCGU